rnacentral:rRNA from 1 species
GACGAACGCUGGCGGCGUGCUUAACACAUGCAAGUCGAACGGAAAGGCCCUGCUUUUGUGGGGUGCCCGAGUGGCGAACGGGUGAGUAACACGUGAGUAACCUGCCCUUGACUUUGGGAUAACUUCAGGAAACUGGGGCUAAUACCGGAUAGGAGCUCCUGCUGCAUGGUGGGGGUUGGAAAGUUUCGGCGGUUGGGGAUGGACUCGCGGCUUAUCAGCUUGUUGGUGGGGUAGUGGCUUACCAAGGCUUUGACGGGUAGCCGGCCUGAGAGGGUGACCGGCCACAUUGGGACUGAGAUACGGCCCAGACUCCUACGGGAGGCAGCAGUGGGGAAUAUUGCACAAUGGGCGGAAGCCUGAUGCAGCAACGCCGCGUGCGGGAUGACGGCCUUCGGGUUGUAAACCGCUUUCGCCUGUGACGAAGCGUGAGUGACGGUAAUGGGUAAAGAAGCACCGGCUAACUACGUGCCAGCAGCCGCGGUGAUACGUAGGGUGCGAGCGUUGUCCGGAUUUAUUGGGCGUAAAAAGGGCUCGUAGGUGGUUGAUCGCGUCGGAAGUGUAAUCUUGGCGCUUAACCCUGAGCGUGCUUUCGAUACGGGUUGACUUGAGGAAGGUAGGGGAGAAUGGAAUUCCUGGUGGAGCGGUGGAAUGCGCAGAUAUCAGGAGGAACACCAGUGGCGAAGGCGGUUCUCUGGGCCUUUCCUGACGCUGAGGAGCGAAAGCGUGGGGAGCGAACAGGCUUAGAUACCCUGGUAGUCCACGCUGUAAACGGUGGGUACUAGGUGUGGGGUCCAUUCCACGGGUUCCGUGCCGUAGCUAACGCUUUAAGUACCCCGCCUGGGGAGUACGGCCGCAAGGCUAAAACUCAAAGGAAUUGACGGGGCCCCGCACAAGCGGCGGAGCAUGCGGAUUAAUUCGAUGCAACGCGUAGAACCUUACCUGGGUUUGACAUGGAUCGGGAGUGCUCAGAGAUGGGUGUGCCUCUUUUGGGGUCGGUUCACAGGUGGUGCAUGGCUGUCGUCAGCUCGUGUCGUGAGAUGUUGGGUUAAGUCCCGCAACGAGCGCAACCCUUGUUCACUGUUGCCAGCACGUUAUGGUGGGGACUCAGUGGAGACCGCCGGGGUCAACUCGGAGGAAGGUGGGGAUGACGUCAAGUCAUCAUGCCCCUUAUGUCCAGGGCUUCACGCAUGCUACAAUGGCUGGUACAGAGAGUGGCGAGCCUGUGAGGGUGAGCGAAUCUCGGAAAGCCGGUCUCAGUUCGGAUUGGGGUCUGCAACUCGACCUCAUGAAGUCGGAGUCGCUAGUAAUCGCAGAUCAGCAACGCUGCGGUGAAUACGUUCCCGGG